AUCUUUUCAAAAAGUAAGUAGACGUUAGUAUUGAUAUCAGUCUGUCUGUCAAGUAUAUAAUGCGUCAGUUUUGCUGCAUCGUCUGUAAUUAGCGUCGUAGUUUCCUUAUGUUGAGUCCCUCCGGUUUCAAAAAAACUGCCAGUACUUGACAACUUUGCAGCAUUCAACCAAUCAGCGCAAUCAGUAAUCUUUUUUCAGCAAUUUCAUGCCUACACGCAAAAUGCAUCUUCGUGGAAUGUUAUUGCUUUCGGUCCUUGUUUUCACAACACCUACAGAGAAUCUGGCACCUAUUCAACGCCG